GAUAAACGCUGGCGGCGUGCAUAACACAUGCAAGUCGAACGAUGAAACUUAGCUGAUUUCUUCGGAAUGAAAUUAAGUGGAUUAGUGGCGAACGGGUGAGUAACACGUGAGUAACCUGCCUUACACAAGGGGAUAGCCUUUGGAAACGAAGAAUAAUACCCUAUAAAGUUAGUCAAUCGCAUGGUAGACUAACCAAAGAUUUAUCGGUGUAAGAUGGACUUGCGUCUGAUUAGCUAGUUGGUGAGAUAAA
rnacentral:rRNA from 1 species